CCAACGCGAAAAACCUUACCACUCCUUGACAUGGAAAUUAUACCUAUUCGAAGGGAUAGGGUCGGUUCGGCCGGGUUUCACACAGGUGUUGCAUGGCUGUCGUCAGCUCGUGUCGUGAGAUGUUGGGUUAAGUCCCGCAACGAGCGCAACCCUCAUCCUUAGUUACCAUCAGGUAAUGCUGGGGACUUUAAGGAGACUGUCAGUGAUAAACUGGAGGAAGGUGGGGAUGAUGUCAAGUCAUCAUGGCCCUUAUGGAGUGGGCUACACACGUGCUACAAUGGUGGCUACAAUGGGCUGCAAAGUCGCGAGGCUAAGCCAAUCCCUUAAAAGCCAUCUCAGUUCGGAUUGUACUCUGCAACUCGAGUGCAUGAAGUUGGAAUCGCUAGUAAUCGUGGAUCAGCACGCCACGGUGAAUACGUUCUCGGGUCUUGUACACACUGCCCGUCACGCCAUGGGAAUUGGUUUCACUCGAAGCUAACGACCUAACCGCAAGGAGGGAGUUAUUUAAAGUGGGAUCGGUGACUGGGGUG
rnacentral:rRNA from 1 species